rnacentral:lncRNA from 1 species
UUUGAAAUCAAAGGAAGUUGAAUGGAUACCCUCACAAGGACUCGAUAUAAGAGGACUCCAAAAUAAGUCAAUUAUAAAUAAAUAAAUAAGUUUCUUUCUUUUUACGCAUUUAAAAAAUUAAAAAAAACAAAAAUAGAAUAAAAGUAACAAUGUUUUAAAAUAAUUUGAAUUAAAUAGGGAUACAAAAAUGAUUAAUCUAAAUCAAAUAGUUACGAAAGGAAAAUAA